rnacentral:miRNA from 1 species
AGUGUGUGUGUGUGUGUGUGCGUGUGCGCACGCGCGCACACACACACACACACA